CGCUCGUCGUCACUGCGCCCGCCGCCGUUCGAGGACGACGCCGGCCGCCAAUGAUCGAUCCUGCCUGGCCGCUGGUUCAGAGCCAUAACAGAGAAUCCAUCAGGCCGACGGAGAGGAGGAGGAACCCCGCAUCGAGAGAAUUUUUUGUUAUAGCGUGAAGGGAAGAGUGAGAUGCGGGAGCACGCCAAAGGGGUCACUGUGCGCUCCUGCAUGAGAAAAUGAGUAUGUCCCAGGGGCAAAUGAGGGCAGAAAUUAGUUCGGAAGUUGGACGACAUCCUAUUCUAAAUCGUACAAAUCGUAAGUGUCUGGGAAAUUAGGCUGAAAAAGCUCGCUCUUGUUCGCUUGGAAUGACCCUUUUUGGUUCCAUUAAUUUGCCUGGUUAAGGAGAGAAGAGCUUGUAGCUUUAGUUUUCUUUUAGUUGGAGCAAAACAUUUACGUACACAUCAUUAUUGCGUCUGCAAGGAUGGUGUUGGGAAUUGUACUUGGACUCUUUAAAGUCUUUUACCUUGUUGCAUAACGUAUGUCUAAGGAAGAUGAGGGGAGUCGUGGAUGCGUUUAGCAACGACAGCUGGUAGGUAGAUUCAGGUGAACAAAAUCUCGAUUA